CGUCCGUAUUGCCGUUUUGACUGUGAACUGACAAACUCGAGGUCGCACAUUGUACCAGGAAUCAACACGCCGUCCGUCUCGAACAGUCCUGCAACAAAAACAGACGAUGAUACUUAUGAAACUGUGAAAAUAUCAUAAACGAAAGAUACCGGGGUCGAUUCACGGUGGCUUAUAGAAGCUUAUAAUCUCUUCUUUGUUCUGACGAAACAAAGAAGGAGCCGUUUUUAAGACAUCGUCGAGGAAAUGGAUCGACUCAAUUAACGAACAAAACAUUUCCUUCGGGGAGAAAUUAUUUUGAUGGAUUUCACGUGUACUGCCUCCUGGCAACAAUAUUCCGAAUAACCACGUAAUCACAAGACAAUGAGGAAAGGAGAACAAGAUGCUUGCGGUAGUGUUCGCAACCGCAUGAUAGACCGCAACUACUUAUCUUGACAAAUGGCGAUUAUCUGCCCCAGAGACGUUUGAUUGACGUAAUCAGGCUGCAAUAUAAUGAUACGUCAACACCUAAAUACAGUAGGAUCUAAUCGUUGAAUCUACCUCCGUGUCAAGAAGCAAAGACAUAAUAAAACUUAUGAUUACGAAACAACGUAGAUUCUGGUUUUAUCGAAGUACCACGAGAUUUGUAUUUAUUCUGUUGCGUAUUUUUCUUUGUAGUAGUAGUAGUAUUCUCAAAUAACUAUAACAAUUCAGUGGCUGUAUUUUCAUAUGGCAAUAAGAAUUUGUAACAGGUGGAAGUAGAACCUGAUAGAAAGACGAUUUAUUGGAAAAAAAAUGUAUAUUCAAACACUUUUUACUCCUCUGUGAUAGUUUACCGAAUGGCAAA